GAUGAACGCUGGCGGCGUGCCUAACACAUGCAAGUCGAACGGACAGACCUGUUUCUUGGGGUUCUCGCGUUGGCGACGGGCGGGUAACUAACACGUGACCAACCCUCCUAUUUGGGAUGGAUUCCUUCGAGAAAGGGGAACUACUACCGGGAAAUACAUUGACCCGGAUGGGGCUGUAAAGAUUGACGGUUUUGGCGUCGGUUCUGGACGUAUCCGCGGCUUAUCAGCUUGGUGGUGUGGUAACGGCUUACCAAGGCUACGGCGGGUAGCCGGCCUGGGGGGGUGAGAGGCGACAUUGGGACUGAGAGACGGCACAGACUCCUACGGGAGGCAGAAGUGGGGAAGAUUGCACAAUGGGUGGAAGCCUGAUGCAGCAACGCCGUGUGCGGGAUGACGGCCUUCGGGUUGAAAAACGCAUUCGCUCAUGACGAAGCUUUGUGUGACGGUAGUGGGUAAAGAAGCACCGGCUAACUACGUG
rnacentral:rRNA from 1 species